CCUACGGGAGGCAGCAGUAGGGAAUCUUCCACAAUGGGCGAAAGCCUGAUGGAGCAACGCCGCGUGGGUGAAGAAGGUCUUCGGAUCGUAAAACCCUGUUGUUAGGGAAGAAAGAGCGUGAGAGUAACUGCUCACGUUUCGACGGUAACUAAUCAGAAAGCGACGGCUAACUACGUGCCAGCAGCCGCGGUAAUACGUAGGUGGCAAGCGUUAUCCGGAUUGAUUGGGCGUAAAGGGAACGCAGGCGGUCAUUUAAGUCUGAUGUGAAAGCCUGCGGCUUAACCGGAGUAGUGCAUUGGAAACUGGGAGACUUGAGUGCAGGAGAGGGGAGUGGAAUUCCAAGUGUAGCGGUGAAAUGCGUAGAUAUUAGGAAGAACACCAGUGGCGAAGGCGGCUUUCUGGUCUGUAACUGACGCUGAGGUUCGAAAGCGUGGGUAGCAAACAGGAUUAGAUACCCUUGUAGUC
rnacentral:rRNA from 1 species